rnacentral:rRNA from 1 species
AUGAACGCUGGCGGCGUGCCUAAUACAUGCAAGUCGAGCGAACAGACGAGGAGCUUGCUCCUCUGACGUUAGCGGCGGACGGGUGAGUAACACGUGGAUAACCUACCUAUAAGACUGGGAUAACUUCGGGAAACCGGAGCUAAUACCGGAUAAUAUAUUGAACCGCAUGGUUCAAUAGUGAAAGACGGUUUUGCUGUCACUUAUAGAUGGAUCCGCGCCGCAUUAGCUAGUUGGUAAGGUAACGGCUUACCAAGGCAACGAUGCGUAGCCGACCUGAGAGGGUGAUCGGCCACACUGGAACUGAGACACGGUCCAGACUCCUACGGGAGGCAGCAGUAGGGUAUCUUCCGCAAUGGGCGAAAGCCUGACGGAGCAACGCCGCGUGAGUGAUGAAGGUCUUCGGAUCGUAAAACUCUGUUAUUAGGGAAGAACAAAUGUGUAAGUAACUAUGCACGUCUUGACGGUACCUAAUCAGAAAGCCACGGCUAACUACGUG